GGGGGUGACAGGUCUCGACUUCGGAUGUCGAGGCAGGUGAAGCGGGCCGAGGAAGGCGACGAUGAUCUCGUUAACCAACAACGUCGCAAAAAAUCAAGCGCCGACAAUGAUCAGCGCGCGUACGCCCUCGCUGCCUAGCAGCUAGAGCGUCGCUGUCAGCCUGGGAGAGCCUCCGGCCCAGGACCUGGCAUCGCUAGGAGGACCACCACCCGCUUUGGCCGCGGGGGCGGGUGGUGAGCUACCGCGGCUGGGCCCGUUCCCGACUCGCCGGCGAGAUCGGGAGGGCCGAGAAAAUCACUGCCGGCUGCGCCCGGAGAAGCCCUGCUGAAGCACCGGAGGACGCGGGUUCGAUUCCCGCCACCUCCAA
rnacentral:tmRNA from 1 species